rnacentral:rRNA from 1 species
AAGCGUUUGCGACCAGACCUUUUCCUGGCGGAUCAUCCGGUGUUCUCACCGGUGCACUUCGCCAGGUUUAGGCCAGCAUCGGUUCUCGCAGGGGGAUAAAAGCUUGGGGAACGUGGCUCCUUCUGGAGUGUUAUAGCCCCUUGCAUAAUACCCUUGCGGGGACCGAGGACCGCGCUUCGGCAAGGAUGCUGGCGUAAUGGUCGUCAACGA